UGGGGAAUUUUGCACAAUGGGGGAAACCCUGAUGCAGCGACGCCGCGUGAUUUAGAAGGCCUUCGGGUUGUAAAAAUCUUUUCUAUGGGAAGAAAAUGACAGUACCAUAGGAAUAAGGACCGGCUAAUUACGUGACAGCAGCCGCGGUAAUACGUAAGGUCCGAGCGUUGUCCGGAAUCAUUGGGCGUAAAGGGUACGUAGGCGGGUAAGCAAGUUAGAAGUGAAAUCCUAUAGCUCAACUAUAGUAAGCUUUUAAAACUGCUCAUCUUGAGGUAUGGAAGGGAAAGUGGAAUUCCUAGUGUAGCGGUGAAAUGCGCAGAUAUUAGGAGGAAUACCGGUGGCGAAGGCGACUUUCUGGCCAUAACCUGACGCUGAGGUACGAAAGCGUGGGUAGCAAACAGG
rnacentral:rRNA from 1 species